CAGCCGCGCGGUAAUACGUAGGUCCCGAGCGUUGUCCGGAUUUAUUGGGCGUAAAGCGAGCGCAGGCGGUUAGAUAAGUCUGAAGUUAAAGGCUGUGGCUUAACCAUAGUACGCUUUGGAAACUGUUUAACUUGAGUGCAAGAGGGGAGAGUGGAAUUCAUGUGUAGCGGUGAAAUGCGUAGAUAUAUGGAGGAACACCGGUGGCGAAAGCGGCUCUCUGGCUUGUAACUGACGCUGAGGCUCGAAAGCGUGGGGAGCAAACAGGAUUAGAUACCCCCGUAGUCCCUGUCUCUUAUACACA
rnacentral:rRNA from 1 species